AACGGCGAGUGAAGCGGCAAAAGCUCAAAUUUGAAAUCUGGCUCCUUAGGGGUCCGAGUUGUAAUUUGUAGAGGAUGCUUCGGGUGCGGCCACGGCCUAAGUUCCUUGGAACAGGACGUCAUAGAGGGUGAGAAUCCCGUCUUGGGUCGUUGGUCCACGCCCGUGUGAAGCUCCUUCGACGAGUCGAGUUGUUUGGGAAUGCAGCUCUAAGCGGGUGGUAAAUUUCAUCUAAAGCUAAAUAUUGGCCGGAGACCGAUAGCGCACAAGUAGAGUGAUCGAAAGGUUAAAAGCACCUUGAAAAGGGAGUUAAACAGCACGUGAAAUUGUUGAAAGGGAAGCGCUUGCGGCCAGACUCAGGCGCAGGGUUCAGCGGGUGCGUGUCACCCGUGCACUCCCUGCCGCCUGGGCCAGCAUCAGUUCUGACGGCCGGUCAAAGGCCCCCGGAAUGUGUCGUCUCUCGGGACGUCUUAUAGCCGGGGGUGCAAUGCGGCCCGUCGGGACUGAGGAACGCGCUUCGGCUCGGAUGCUGGCAUAAUGGCCGUAAGCGGCCCGUCUUGAAACACGGACCAAGGAGUCUAACAUCCACGCGAGUGUUCGGGUGUCAAACCCGUGCGCGCAGUGAAAGCGAACGGAGGUGGGAGCCUUAGGGCGCACCAUCGACCGAUCCUGAAGUCUUCGGAUGGAUUUGAGUAGGAGCGUGGCCGUUGGGACCCGAAAGAUGGUGAACUAUGCCUGAAUAGGGUGAAGCCAGAGGAAACUCUGGUGGAGGCUCGCAGCGGUUCUGACGUGCAAAUCGAUCGUCAAAUUU
rnacentral:rRNA from 1 species